CGCUUCAUCUCUCCGCAUCUCUACUCUUCCCCAUACCAGAAGACACGGCGGUGCAAUCACCACCGGGCGGUGCCCUUCAAGGCUUCAACAAGUAGCAGAUUCGGCGCAGGAUUGCCACCGCCUCCGGUCGACAGGGAUUGAGGCCUCACGAGCGUCAUCUCCCUCCCUGAUUCAACCGCUCUCGCAAAGUCAACACAUCAAGCUCUCCUCCCAUUCUGCCAUUCAUAAAAUUCCCCCUACCUAUCUACAGUAGCACACGGCAGCGGGGAUUAGCGGGGAUGCAUCUCCGCCUGUGGCACUCAUCUGGCACAAUCCACCUGUCCAAGACCUGCCCGCCGAAGUUUCAGGUUGCAUCCUCCUUCCCAUCAUGAAGUCAGGUUGUUCUGUGGCUCCAGUACAUGGGUAUGGGUGCGAGGAGUAUACACGCAUUAAGCCUUGCCAAGGAACCCCAUUGGAAGGUGAUGACCGUCAGGUAGUCGUGAAGCAGCAGCAGCUAGGGCAGUGUACGGCACCUUUGAGCUAUUGUAGGCAAUCACGAACAUGGACCUUUUCGAAAAAAAUCACGGACAUGAAAGGUUCACUAGAAUCAAGUCAGGUGAGGAACUAAGCUUCCACUCACCUAUUUCUUCUUGCAAAUUCAGAAACGGGAGUUUGGGUUAUCAUUUCCUUUUUUUCCUUAUUCUAUAAUCCGUAAGUCACUGAGAUAACGACGAAUGCGGCUGUGAGAAGCGAUGGCUCUCCCGAUCCUCCUUUCAGUGGUAAGGAAUCCCUAUCAUUCUCUUUUUGGCUCUUACUUUUUUAUGAUACAGUUUUGUUUCCAUGAAUAGUUCAUCUCCUAAAUACGGAUAUCAUAAUUAUUCAACUACCAUUAAAAUCACAACUCUUUUUGGCUCUGGGAGGGUGACAAAGUAACCCAGUUCUGUUGCUUCUUAACUUCAGAUAUUCAACUACCAUUAAAAUCACAACUUCAUGAUAUCCUAGACCUUAAAGUAGCGUGCAUCUUCUUCUAUUAUACAUGCUCCACAGUACUAAUUAUAGCUGAAAAAUAGUACUUUUUACCAAGAUUGUUUGAGUGCAAUCUAAACCCUGUUUGUAGUAUGCUGCUGGGCCACCAAUCUACAUACGUUAUAGUCUUUUUGUUUUUGCGAGAAUUUAUGAAUUAAUAAUUCUAAUAUCAGUACCCUUCGGACAAUGGGUCAUGGUUAGUUCACUGAUGAUAAUAAAGGAUUCUCUAUGUUUUUGUUUACAAGAGUCCACAUCUUUAGCUCUUUAAUUUGCUAUGUUAAACUAAAGUAAAUUUCAUUUUUGUAAAACAUACACUUUUUGUAUUUAUGUAGGAUGGUGGAAGUGGAUGCAAACUUUUGUCUGUGUUUAUUAAAAAAUCAAAAUACAAGCAAUCAAAACAAACAAAGCACAAUAGUGUUGUUUUAAAGUGGGUAAGUUCCUGAAGUUAUUUUCCACUAUUUGUAUGAAACAGAGAAUGGCAUAGAAGCGUCCCUAUUUGAUAGCUCUAUGUCCUUUCUCAUUUUAAAUAUUUGCACGGUGCCGGUGCCAAAUGCUUUUUACCUGGUUGCACUUUGGAAAUUGAGCCGGAUAAUACUUCUCCAACUUAGUUGUAGCUACAUGUGUCUCCCACUAAAUUUUUGAUAGUUGCUCAAUUAGGCCCACUUCCAAUUCAUGUUUUUAUUACAGUUAUGCUUACCAACAUGUUCUUGGUAUUAUUGUCUUAGAACAUUUCAUAGCUUAAGAAAUGGUUACCUAAACUUUAUCGGUAUGAAGGACAACCUGGGAAACUUUA